CUGACCCAGAGGGAGUAAUCGAAGGGGAAUGGAGACAAUGCAGACACACUGAGGAAACAAAGAGUCUACAGUCCAGAGUGAAGAAUGAAUUGCAGAGCCUCCUACCUCCUCCACAGCCCCCUCGGUGUGCUCACUGGACUGAGUGCAUUCCCAGGAACCAUACACAGGGCACAACUGGUGAAACAGGACAAGGCAACUCCAGGGACAAAAGGAAAAUAGAGCUUCUUUGAGCACGGUCCAGGAUGGUCAGGCGGGAUGAGCAGGCUGUCAAAGUUCUGCCAGGUGGUGACGACCGGAGAGAGGUCAUCAUAGACCGAGAACAUUGGCGUCCCAAAGCGGCCCACAUACUGCUUGUAGAAGUGCUCCUUCACCCUCUCUUUGAUCAGCCAAAGAGGAUGAUGCUGCUGGUUGUGCAGAUUCCUGCCAACCCUGGAGAGGACCUUCUGGGACAGGUUGCUAUAGUCGUCCUGAGGGUAAGAUUUGCCCAGCAGCUCUACCACACUGCCUGGAGCUCUUCGGGCAGCAAACUCUGAAGCAGCAGGUCUCGAGCCCAAGGCCUGAUGAUGAUGAUGGCCUUUGGAGACACUACUGGCUUUCCUCACCAGGUAAACAUGCAUAUGGGCAACUCUCCUGAGAGCUGAGCAAACCAUUGCAACUCCUCUCACAGAUUCUGGAAAGAGCACACAUGCAAAACACAAGUCAAGCUUCACUCUGUAAAAGAUAAGUAUGUCCUGUGUUUCCAACCUGCUCCCCACUGUCCUAAUGACGUGUUUCCCCUACUACCUCUUCCACACAGACCAAAGACCCCAUUAAGGAAAUCUGCUGACUGAGGCUUAAUAGGUACUGCUCUACAUCAAAAGAACCUUAAAAUCAUGUUAGAUCCCUACUUUCUAGCUAUUCUUCAUGGGUUUGAAGACAACUUCCUUUAUCGUGUCAUGUCAUGUCCUGAAUCCCUCAUGUUCAAUAAAACUUUGUGUGACAA